AUCCCAAGUGUAGCCUGUGUAGUGCUGGCCCUAGGUGUGGCCUGACAGUGUCAGGGCCAAGUGGGGGCGUCCCCCGCUGUCCGGCAAGCUUCGGUCAGCCGAGCACUGUGUGCCUGGUGGCGUGUGUUCACGUGUGCGUGCGCGUGCCCGGAAAGGCAGCAAACAGCUGCGCCCGAGGGCUGUGGCGCUUUCCCUCCCUCCUUCCCUUCCUUCUUCCCUCGUCAGUUCUCCGACCUCCCUCCGUUCCCUGUCCCUCAUCCAUCCAGCUGAAGGGCUCGCUCACUCUCUUCUCCUGUGCUGAAACGGUGCGUGGGGCACUGCUGCCCGGGCCUCACUGUGCUCUGCUUUUCCCCACAGCACUCCCUCAACAUCCUGGGCCAGAAGGUGUCCAUGCACUACAGCGACCCCAAGCCCAAGAUCAAUGAGGACUGGCUGUGUAAUAAGGUACAGGGGCGGUGGGCAGCAGUUGCCAUGGAUUGAAACGGCGGCGGCGGCGGCAGCGNNNNNNNNNNNNNNNNNNNNNNNNNAGCGGCAGCCACAUCUCUGUCUCUCUGGGGCCUCUGAGUGCAGUGGGCGUGGAGGGUUGGCUCAGCCCGAGCAGCUCUGCUCCUUGCCGCCUCCCACCAGUGUGUACCGAGCUUUUCCUCAUGCAGCACGAUCUUGCCUGAAGCCUCAGUAGACUUUAGACAGAUGUUUACGUGAGUGACAGAACGCCAGUGGAGGCAUAACGCGGUGUGUAAAAUGCGGACUUGAGAGCCAGGCUGGCUGAAAUUGGACUCUUCCAAAACUGCCUCGGUUUGGGUCAGGGCAUUUAACCUCUCUGCCUCACUCUCCCCACCUCUAAAAUGCAAACGCUAAUGAAGCCGUACCUCUCCCCAGGGUGGUUGGGAGGAUUGAAAUGUGGUCACGAGGGGGGCGGGGGUCACGCUUGCAACAACACCUGGCUUGCAGUUAGCACCGUUUUAUCCUCAGCUUUUGCCUCUCUCCUCACCCUCCUACACCAGCCACACAAACCUCUUGUCCCCUCUGCUAGCAGUCGAUCCCCAGCAACGCCAAACCAAACUCCUGGGCCUCACAGAUCCAACCUCUCUGCUGACCUUACCAGCUGAGUGAGCUGGACCUCUCGGCCUGCUCCCCUCCCAGAGCCCCUGUGGGUGACUAGCCCGCUGCCCCUCUGUGCUACAUCGGCUUCCUGCUGUGAGGCCCGGAGGCCAGAGGCCACAUGCUGGGCAGAGCCUGGCACGGGAGCAGUGCUCAGCAGCUGACCACGGAACAGAGAGGGAAAUGUGCGGAAAGCCGGGGGUCUCCAGAGGCUGCACUGCCCACAGCAGAUUUAUUUCUCCAGAGAGGCAGGAUCCAGCCCAGUCCUCGAGACAAAGGAGGGCUGGGAGUCUGGCAGGAGAGGGGCUCCUGGCUUUGGGGGGUAGAAAUGGUGAAGGUCUCUGAAUAGGGAAGCAUGUUUUGGGAAGAGGAGUCUACCAAAGGAACUCGGUAGGGGGCAGUUCCGGGAGUUGCUACCGCAGAGGAGGUGGCAGCUGGUAACCGAGGUGGGGGGGUGUGGAUUCCCGAGUUGAGGAGCUGGCCCUGAGGACAAACUCGGGACCACGUAAAGGGAGGAUUCACGGGACUGAGAAUGACAGCCAAAGCCGCUGGCCACCCCUGACCCUGGGACCUUCCCCGGGGGCA
rnacentral:lncRNA from 1 species